rnacentral:rRNA from 1 species
AUUGAACGCUGGCGGCAUGCCUAACACAUGCAAGUCGAGCGGAGCGGCGGACGGGUGAGUAAUGCCUAGGAAUUUGCAUGGUAGUAGGGGAUACCGUCCGGAAACGGGCGCUUUUACCGCAUACUAUCAGAUGAGUCUAGGUGGGAUUAGAUAGAUGGUGGGGUAAAGGCCUACCAAGGCGACGAUGCGUAACUGGUCUGAGAGGAUGAUCAGUCACACUGGAACUGAGACACGGUCCAGACUCCUACGGGAGGCAGCAGUGGGGAAUAUUGGGCAAUGGGCGAAAGCCUGAUCGAGCCAUGCCGCGUGAGUGAAGAAGGUCUUCGGAUUGUAAAGCACUGUUAUUUGAGAAGCGUUACCAAAAGAAUAAGCACCGGCUAACUUCGUGCCAGCAGCCGCGGUAAUUC